rnacentral:tmRNA from 1 species
GGGGCUGACUUGGAUUUCGACAGAUUUCUUGUCGCACAGAUAGCAUGCCAAGCGCUGCUUGUAAAACAGCAACAAAAAUAACUGUAAACAACGCAGAUUACGCUCCAGCUUACGCUAAAGCCGCGUGAGUUAAUCUCCUUUUGGAGCUGGACUGAUUAGAAUUUCUAGCGUUUUAAUCACUCCAUAACCUUAAGCUAGACGCUUUUAAAAGGUGGUUCGCCUUUUAAACUAAGAAACAAGAACUCUUGAAACUAUCUCAAGGUUUUAGAAAGUUGGACCAGAGCUAGUUUUAAGGCUAAAAAACUAACCAAUUUUCUAAGCAUUGUAGAAGUUUGUGUUUAGGACAAGAUUUUUGGACUGGGGUUCGAUUCCCCACAGCUCCACCA